ACAAGCCCCGGUGAUGGCUGUUGAGAAGUGGAAAACCAGAUGAACAGGAGCUCCACUCUGCCUGGCUGGAUGGGCGUUGCGGGGUGCCCUGUUGUGAGGGCCCUGUCCCAUCCUGGGGGCAUGGGAUGGAGGACCAGGGACAGCGUGGACUGUGGACAGUGUGGACAGAAGUGUGGGCUGUGUGCUGCUCCCAGCCCGAGGCUCCAGCAGACAGAAGCAGCGGAGUACCUCUGUCACCGGACCACCCAGGCGUCAGCCUCCUGCUGUGCUCCAGCCCACACCAGCCCAGGAACUGCGACACAGUCGGAGCAGCCUGGCUGAGAGUGCAGGCCAGAGGCAUGUAGACCACAGCCGUGAGCGUGGCUGUGCACGGUGAGCCAGAUCCAAACAUUAGUGUCGCCACACGGAGCUCUCCUGUCUUCCUCCACUUCCUUCAAUUUACCCCAUCUGGCAGCACCAGGCUGUAUGCCCACAUCAGAUCAAAAUCCAUUUGCGUCCCCUGGAGGGGAGGGGAGGAGGGGAGCGAGCACUCACUGACCAGGGUGCAUUGCUUCUGGGCACCACUUCCGUUCCCAACCCUGAAGGACAAGCAGGGUGGGGUCCCUGGAUCGCCCUCCCUCUGCAGAGCCUGGAAACACCGAGUGCCUCUGGCUGGUUUCUGUUGCUGUAACUGCUCUUCGGAGCUGGUGACUUAUAAACAACAGAAGCUCAUGUGGCCGGGGUUGGGGGGCGGUGGGGGGGUGCACUGGAGUCCAUGCCUGAGGGCCUGCUCGAGGUUCGGGCCUCUGUGCGGUGCCAGCCUCCGCAGGGGUGGAAGGGCAGGAAGACCUGCAGGGCGAGGCUGCCCUCUCAGCUCCAGCCCAUCGUGGUCAGCAUCGAAGACGUCCUGCCCCAGCUCUCCCACCCACCCUCCCAGCCCAUGCUCUUGGGGACCCGGGACCCCGAAGCGUGCCCCUGAGCCC
rnacentral:lncRNA from 1 species